rnacentral:rRNA from 1 species
UAACAACUCUCAGCAACAAAUAUCUCGGCUCUCGCAUCGAUGAAGAUCAUAGCGAAAUGCGAUACUUGGUGUGAAUUGUAGAAUCUCGUGAAUCAUUGAGUCUUUGAACGCAAGUUGUGCUCGAAGCCACUUGGCCGAGGGCACGUUUGCCUGGGUGUCACGC